GCCGCACUAGAGAAAUGGUUAACUCGUCGGCCUCCUAUUAUCCUUCUGGAAAAUAGAGUCUAUAGCAGCCGAAGAUUCCCGGUUCGAGUCCGGGGUGUGGUG